AAAGAAACCCGGAUGGAAGAAAUCAUGCAGAUGGAUGAGGUGGUUGAAGAAGACGACUCGGUGAACUACGUAAACGUUGGAGAGCCUUCUGCCUCCGUCUCACUGGACUGAUGGACGACGUGAAGCCACCACAGAGUCCCUGAUGUCAGACGCCAUGACGCCGUUGUCCACGGCAACAGACGCUUUAAGAGGCUUCAGUGCAGAAACGCUUGUGUUUCACUUUAAACGGGACAAAGAUGCUUCAGUCUUUAUACAGACUGAAUGUUUCCUCCUGUGAAGCAGCAGCGCCUUCUGCAACUGCUGUUUAUAUGUUCACACGUUCAUGUUCACCUGCUACGCUUUAUUCUAUUACACAAUGUUAUAUGUGCUUUAUUCUGUUACACAAUGUUAUAUGUGCUUUAUUAUAUUACACAAUGUUAUAUGUGCUUUAUUCUAUUACACAAUGUUAUAUGUGAAUUAUUCUAUUACACAAUGUUAUAUGUGCUUUAUUAUAUUACACAAUGUU
ensembl:lncRNA